ACAACAUCUAUUUAAACCCUCUCUCCCAUUUUCCCAGGUCUCUGUAUCUAUCUAUCAUAUUCGCAAUAUAUUCCAUAGAAUGUCAUUGAGUGAUGGCUAUCUAUUAAACAAGAAGGGCACCUUUCCCCAACAUACAUUGUAACAAGUCGUAUAUCAGCAUGGCCACCGGAUUGCACCCAUAAAGUUAUAAAUGGGGCUCUGAUUGACAGUGACAAUAAAUAGACUAUCACAACCAUUCUGCUUCAACUACUCACCGGGUGGG